rnacentral:lncRNA from 1 species
CCGCUGUUACACAGGAGGCAGUCAGUAGCCACAAAGAAAUGCCAAGAACAGGAGUGCCACAAUCAGAUGCUAGCACUGGACAGCCAUUCUGGGUGCAGCAGGAGAGUGGAUGGGUGGGGUAAAGGAAUGACCCUUUGGCACACGAGGAGACAGGAGCUGGGCAAAGGUGUUAACAGUGGUCUGGGAAAGACAGUCAGCUUCAGGAGAGAGCAAUGAUGUGGACUUAAUGCCCCCUGAAGAUUGUCUGGAUGGGAGCUCUGUGGUCCAGCUGUCUGUCCCUGGGGACCUCAGAGCCCAGCUUCCCCCUGCUACCCUCCUGUUGCCCAGCUGAGAUGUAGCUCUCCUCUCCAUGCUACCCCCAUCCUCUAAGGAAGCCUGUAAUAAGACGGGGACACCAGCUGGAAAUGCUCUUGUCUGACUGGCUCGUCUCUGAUCUAUUUACGUGCAGGGGGCUGCCUAAAUAGUUCUUGCCUAAAUGGUUCUUACAGAUGAAGAGUUCUACUGGAAGUACUAGUCUACCUUACCAACAUUUUUUCCUUUGGCUUAUUAAAAUAGAUACUCUAAUGGCCUAUUUUUAAUGCAAAAUUUAAUUUUAAAAAUCAAAUGGUAAAAAUCAGUUCUUGAGGACUGAAUUUUUU